GAGUUUGAUCCUGGCUCAGGACGAACGCUGGCGGUGCGCUUAAUGCAUGCAAGUCUAACGAGAACGGCGGCUUCGGUCGCUAAGUAAAGUGGCAGACGGCUGAGUAACACGUAAGUAACCAACCCCGGAGCGGUGAAUAAUCAUGAGAAAUCGUGCCUAAUACCCCGUAAGUCCCAACAGGCGUUGCCGUUGGGGGAAAGGCUUCGGUCGCUCUGGGACGGGCUUGCGGCCUAUCAGGUAGUUGGUAGGGUAAUGGCCUACCAAGCCUAAGACGGGUAGCCGGCCUUAGCGGGUGAACGGCCACAUGGGGACUGAGACACGGCCCUGACUCCUACGGGAGGCAGCAGUGGGGAAUAUUGGGCAAUGGGCGAAAGCCUGACCCAGCGAUGUCGCGUGAGGGAUGAAGGCCUUCGGGUCGUAAACCUCUGUCGGGAGGGACGAUGGGACUUAUGUCUUGACGGUACCUCCAGAGGAAGCCCCGGCUAACUCCGUGCCAGCAGCCGCGGUAAUACGGAGGGGGCAAGCGUUGCUCGGAAUUACUGGGCGUAAAGGGUCCGCAGGCUGUCAGGCAAGUUGGUUGUGAAAGCUCAAGGCUUAACCUUGGAAUUGCAUCCAAAACUGCCUGACUAGAGUACAAGAGAGGUUGGCAGAAUUCCCGGUGUAGCGGUGAAAUGCAUAGAUAUCGGGAGGAAUACCAGAGGCGAAGGCGGCCAACUGGCUUGUAACUGACGCUCAGGGACGAAAGCGUGGGUAGCAAACCGGAUUAGAUACCCUGGUAGUC
rnacentral:rRNA from 1 species